rnacentral:rRNA from 1 species
UCGAGAAUCUUCGGCAAUGGGCGCAAGCCUGACCGAGCGACGCCGCGUGGAGGACGAAGGCCUUCGGGUUGUAAACUCCUGUCGAGGGGGAGGAAGGUGCUUCGGCACUUGACCGAUCCCUGGAGGAAGCACGGGCUAAGUUCGUGCCAGCAGCCGCGGUAAGACGAACCGUGCGAACGUUAUUCGGAAUGACUGGGCUUAAAGAGCAUGUAGGCGGAUCGGAACGUCCGUGGCUGAAAGCCCCCGGCUCAACCGGGGAAGUGGCGCGGAUACGACCGGUCUCGAGGGGGGUAGGGGGACCUGGAACUUCCGGUGGAGCGGUGAAAUGCGUUGAGAUCGGAAGGAACGCCCGUGGCGAAAGCGAGGUCCUGGACCCUUUCUGACGCUGAGAUGCGAAAGCCAGGGGAGCGAACGG